ensembl:lncRNA
CUUGCCUCUAAUUUAUUUUUGCAGAGUAGCUCGCAGCCUGCCGCUGUUGUGCAGCCAGAUAGACCGCACCGACGAAACGCUGGUAGAAGUGUGGACCUCGCUCCAACUCGUUUUGGAAGAAUUAACUGAAAACCAUCCCUGAGUAUAUAAACGCCAUGUUGGGGAGGAGGGGUGGUGAAGGACGGUAUUACAAGAAGUAUCGGCUCAAUAUCAGUUGUGUUUUGACUAAAAUUAAAAAAAGAAAAUAUGACCUGACAGAUAAUCAGAUGUGAAUCCACAAGAAUUACCGGAGAUAGUUUUGCUUAACGGGUUAUGGUGUUAACGGUGUUAAAGGGUCAUGGUGAAGCCCAGAGCCCCAAGUUCAUCACACCUGGCUAACACACGAGUUAUUCUAUUGGGAAGAGCUGUAAUAAGAAUGAGACUGUCAACAUGUGAGAAAAAAAAUAUACAUACAUCUAUAUAUACAUACAUCUAUAUAUACAUCUUACAUCCUUAACACUUCAUUCUCCUUAAAAGAAUUCAGAAGCAGAUUUUUUCUCAAGGUAAGCCUGUCGCAGGUGUAGGUCACAUACAAGCUGGAAGCCUUUUGAUCUCAGAGGUUCCUUUUGUUUCCCAGCUGGCCUUUUGAGUGUUAUGGAGCAUAGCCAUGAGAACAUAUCAAAAGCAAAGAAGGGUUUGAACUGCAGACACAACCAUCCAAAAAACUAACUCUGUACAAAACCUGGGAAAAUCCAGAGAGAUUUCCUAAAACGAAUUGCACAAACCAAACACCCUGCGGCUGAGGAAGUUUCUGCUGUACCAAUGCCUUAUGAAACCACAAAUGUCACGGCAAAGAUGGUGAUAAUAAGUGCAAACAUGAGUAUAAACACUGGGAAAUACAGUUGGUGUUUAAAAACAAACAAAAACCAGUGUGAAAGAGAAAAACUCUCCCCUCCCUUUGCAGGACCUGUCUGGACAGGCUGCCAAAUCCUAGCCUGCAGCAGAUCCCCAUGGGAGCCUGAUCCCAGCCUCUUUUCCCCAUCCCUCUCCAAGGUGGGAGCUCAGACACCCUACCUGUCGUCGCUGGUUCCCUCUCUGCCACCACCUGAGAUGAAAGGCAGGUCUUCAGCUCAUCCCCAGCUGUCAAGACUCCAAGGUCCCCUGGGAAGUGUCUGUGGAAGACAGUAACACUAGUUGAAAAGAUUGCUCAUGGCAGAGGACGGUCUACGAAGGUAGAAGGAAUUGUGAAGAUCGGGAGCAUAAAAAGAAUUUGCAAAGCACCAGUGGUGCUGAUCUGCCAGCCAGAUCACUUCCCAGAAGGCUUCCAGGAGGAUGGUAGAUGCUGCCCCCCCAAAGGUAAAUUUUGGUUCUUUAAUUCUUCCUGGUUCUCGGUGGGACAGUGCCAAGCUGCAUCUUCACUCCUGAGAUACCCAGGAAGAGCCAUUGAAGGGAAAGGAGUAGGCAAGGGGCAGACCACUCACUGCGCCUUCAUGCCAGCAGCUACAAGAAGGUGUUGAAAACUUUUGGAGACCCAAAUCAGGUAUGGGCUUACCAUGUGACAGAGCCAUCAGUAUCAAAGAGUCUGGACCAGGAGCCCCAGUCAGACCCCAGUCCUUCUUGUGACCUCAAAGAUGACUGGCCCAGCCAAAGGGGCGUCUGUCAGGAUAAAAUAUGCUCUCAGUUUUAGCUAGGCCUGAUGCAGAUCUGCCUUUCUUGAAGAGGCUAAUUAAAGUGAUAGAGUGUCUAUCAUCUUUACCCACACACACACUCUGUCACAAGUGGUUUGCUUCCUAAAAGGAAUAUACAUCUGCCUAUGAUCCAGCAUUCUGGAGGAGACUGUUGCAGGAGCAAGUUUACCUUGGGCUGUGCCUCCUAUGAUUAUCUGUUUUAAUAACAGUGGAAUUCAGAGCUAGGAGUCUACCUGCUGUCUGUACC